GGAGUGGCUGGCUGGCUGGAGGGAGAGUAGAGGGACUGGGGAGCUCCAGUCUAGUGGUACAGAGAGUGGCUGGUGGCUGGAGGAGAGUAGAGGGACUGGGAGCUCCAUCUAGUGGUACAGAGAGUGGGCUUGUGGAGGGAGAGUAGAGGACUGGGGAGCUC
rnacentral:lncRNA from 1 species